rnacentral:rRNA from 1 species
ACUCAAAUGAAUAGACGGGGGCCCGCACAAGCGGUGGAGCAUGUGGUUCAAUUCGACGCAACGCGAAGAACCUUACCUGGGCUCGAAAUGUAGUGGACCGGGGUGGAAACAUCCCUUCCCGCAAGGGCCGCUAUAUAGGUGCUGCAUGGCUGUCGUCAGCUCGUGUCGUGAGAUGUUGGGUUAAGUCCCGCAACGAGCGCAACCCUUAUUGCCAGUUACUAACACAUAAUGGUGAGAACUCUGGCGAAACUGCCUCGGAUAACGAGGAGGAAGGUGGGGAUGACGUCAAGUCCUCAUGGCCUUUAUGUCCAGGGCUACACACGUGCUACAAUGGUCGAUACAAACCGUCGCAAACCCGCGAGGGGGAGCUAAUCGGAAAAAGCCGGCCUCAGUUCGGAUUGGAGUCUGCAACUCGACUCCAUGAAGCUGGAAUCGCUAGUAAUCGCGGAUCAGCACGCCGCGGUGAAUACGUUCCCGGGCCUUGUACACACCGCCCGU